UGGUGCAAUUCCUAAUAGUAGUUUGCCACAAAGUAAAUAUUAUAAACAAAAAUUGAACGUGUAUUAUUUCCCAAUCCAGCUUUAGAUAUUGCUUGCCUAUUAUGUUUACAAUAGACAUUCAGGGGCAGUUAAUGAGCUGCAUAAUUUUUGCUUACUAUUUAUAAUUAGAGGAAUAUUCACAUAGUAAAAAUAAAGAUAUAAUGUUCUUUGUUCCUCAAGACAGAAAAUACAGUGGAAGGAUUUGGAAAGGACUGUCACCUCUGCCUAGUACUGCACUGUAAUCUCCAACGGAAAAGCACAUACAAA
rnacentral:lncRNA from 1 species